rnacentral:rRNA from 1 species
CCUACGGGAGGCUGCAGUGGGGAAUAUUGGACAAUGGGGGGAACCCUGAUCCAGCCAUGCCGCGUGUGUGAAGAAGGCCCUCGGGUUGUAAAGCACUUUCAGUGAGGAAGAACGCCUGGUGGUUAAUACCCAUCAGGAAAGACAUCACUCACAGAAGAAGCACCGGCUAACUCCGUGCCAGCAGCCGCGAUAAUACGGAGGGUGCGAGCGUUAAUCGGAAUUACUGGGCGUAAAGCGCGCGUAGGUGGCUUGAUAAGCCGGUUGUGAAAGCCCCGGGCUCAACCUGGGAACGGCAUCCGGAACUGUCAAGCUAGAGUGCAGGAGAGGAAGGUAGAAUUCCCGGUGUAGCGGUGAAAUGCGUAGAGAUCGGGAGGAAUACCAGUGGCGAAGGCGGCCUUCUGGACUGACACUGACACUGAGGUGCGAAAGCGUGGGUAGCAAACAGGAUUAGAUACCCGAGUAGUC